rnacentral:rRNA from 1 species
GGUGAGUAAUGCAUCGGAACGUGCCCAGUCGUGGGGGAUAACGCAGCGAAAGCUGUGCUAAUACCGCAUACGAUCUAUGGAUGAAAGCGGGGGACCGAAAGGCCUCGCGCGAUUGGAGCGGCCGAUGUCAGAUUAGCUAGUUGGUGGGGUAAAGGCCCACCAAGGCGACGAUCUGUAGCUGGUCUGAGAGGACGACCAGCCACACUGGGACUGAGACACGGCCCAGACUCCUACGGGAGGCAGCAGUGGGGAAUUUUGGACAAUGGGCGCAAGCCUGAUCCAGCAAUGCCGCGUGCAGGAAGAAGGCCUUCGGGUUGUAAACUGCUUUUGUACGGAGCGAAACGGUCCGGGUUAAUACCCUGGGCUAAUGACGGUACCGUAAGAAUAAGCACCGGCUAACUACGUGCCAGCAGCCGCGGUAAUACGUAGGGUGCAAGCGUUAAUCGGAAUUACUGGGCGUAAAGCGUGCGCAGGCGGUUUUGUAAGACAGGCGUGAAAUCCCCGGGCUCAACCUGGGAAUGGCGCUUGUGACUGUGAAACUGGAGUGCGGCAGAGGGGGAUGGAAUUCCGCGUGUAGCAGUGAAAUGCGUAGAUAUGCGGAGGAACACCGAUGGCGAAGGCAAUCCCCUGGGCCUGCACUGACGCUCAUGCACGAAAGCGUGGGGAGCAAACAGGAUUAGAUACCCU